UCUGGAACUCGGCGUGGAUACAGAGAAGCCGAUGUUUCAGA
rfam:Oryzias latipes DNA, chromosome9, strain: Hd-rR.